rnacentral:lncRNA from 1 species
GGUUGUCAUAUCUCUCAUUUAAGCCAUUCCACAAGAUAGGUGGAUCUUUGACUGUGAUAUAUACAAUUUUCAAUCCUUCAUCAAGGUGAUGGCGCAAGAAAAUCAAAGGCUGCGCAAGAAAAUCAAGGCCUUAGCACAGUUUCAAACCUUCAUCAAGGUGAUGGCGCAAGAAAAUCAAGGCCUUAGCAUAGUCUUGGGUGGAUGCAUUAUUUCUGUCUUUGAUGGCGUCUCCAAGACCCAUUGCAUCCAAAUGGAUUUCAACAUCCAACACCCAUGUUAUAUAGUUCUUGCCCGAGAUUUCAAGGGCAACGAACUUUCUUUUCAUAAUAUGAUACAUGAAACAAAAUUACAUCAAGAGCGUGUUCAUACUUACGGGCUUUAUUAUCACAUUCACU